rnacentral:rRNA from 1 species
GACGAACGCUGGCGGCGUGCUUAACACAUGCAAGUCGAACGGAAAGGCCCCCUUGUGGGGUACUCGAGUGGCGAACGGGUGAGUAACACGUGAGUAACCUACCCUUCACUUUGGGAUAACUUCAGGAAACUGGGGCUAAUACCGGAUAGGAGCUCCUGCUGCACGGUGGGGGUUGGAAAGUUUCGGCGGUAUGGGAUGGACGCGCGGCUUAUCAGCUUGUUGGUGGGGUAGUGGCUCACCACGGCUUUGACGGGUAGCCGGCCUGGGAGGGUGACCGGCCACAAGGGGACUACGAGACGGCCCAGACGCCUACGGGAGGCAGAAGUGGGGAAUAUGGCACAAUGAGAGGAAGCCUGAUGCAGCAGCGCCGCGUGCGGGAUGACGGCCUUCGGGGAGUAAACCGCUUUCGCUUGUGACGAAGCGUGAGUGACGGUAAUGGGUAAAGAAGCACCGGCUAACUACGUG